rnacentral:rRNA from 1 species
GAGUUUGAUCCUGGCUCAGGACAAACGCUGGCGGCGUGCGUAAAACAUGCAAGUCGGACGGACCCCCUUCGGGGGGUCAGUGGCAGACGGCUGAGUAACACGUAAGCGACCUACCCGGAAGUGGGGAAUAACUGCUCGAAAGAGUGGCUAAUACCGCAUGAGCCCCCCCGUUCGCUCGGGGGGGGAAAGCAGCGAUGCGCUUCCGGAUGGGCUUGCGGCCGAUUAGCUAGUUGGCGGGGUAAUGGCCCACCAAGGCGACGAUCGGUAGCCGGCCUGAGAGGGCGGACGGCCACACUGGAACUGAGACACGGUCCAGACUCCUACGGGAGGCAGCAGUAAGGGAUAUUGCACAAUGGGCGGAAGCCUGAUGCAGCAACGCCGCGUGCGGGAAGAAGGGUUUCGGCUCGUAAACCGCUUUUCUCCAGGAAGAGCAAGGACGGUACUGGAGGAAUAAGUCUCGGCUAACUACGUGCCAGCAGC